rnacentral:rRNA from 1 species
GAAUGGCUCAUUAUACAAGUUAUCGUUUAUUUGAUAGUGCCUUACUACUUGGAUAACCGUGGUAAUUCUAGAGCUAAUACAUGCCAAAAGACCCGACUUUGGAAGGGUUGUAUUUAUAAGAUUAAAAACCAAUGCCCUCUGGGCUCACUGGUGAAUCAUGAUAACUUCGCGAAUCGCAUGGCCUUGUGCCGGCGAUGGCUCAUUCAAAUUUCUUCCCUAUCAACUUUCGAUGUUUGGGUAGUGGCCAAACAUGGUUGCAACGGGCGGAGGGUUAGGGCUCGACCCCGGAGAAGGAGCCUGAGAAACGGCUACUACAUCCAAGGAAGGCAGCAGGCGCGCAAAUUACCCAAUCCCGAUACGGGGAGGCAAAUACUGAUACAGGGCUCUUUUGGGUCUUGUAAUUGGAAUGAGUACAAUUUAAAUCCCUUAACGAGGAACAAUUGGAGGGCAAGUCUGGUGCCAGCAGCCGCGGUAAUUCCAGCUCUAAUAGCGUAUAUUAAAGUUGUUGUGGUUAAAAAGCUCGUAGUUGAACCUUGGGCCUGGCUGGCGGGUCCGCCUCACCGCGUGUACUUCGCCGGCCGGGCCUUUCCCUCUGUGGAACCCCAUGCCCUUCACUGGGUGUGGUGGGGAAACAGGACUUUUACUUUGAAAAAAUUAGAGUGCUCCAGGCAGGCCUAUGCUCGAAUAUAUCAUGGAAUAAUAAAAGACGUGUGGUUUUAUUUUGUUGGUUUCGACCGCCGUAAUGAUGGACAGCCGGGGGCAUCAGUAUUCAAUUGUCAGAGGAAUUCUUGGAUUUAUAGACUAACUACUGCGAAAGCAUUUGCCAAGAAUGUUUUCAUUAAUCAGGAACGAAAGUUAGGGGAUCGAAGACGAUCAGAUACCGUCGUAGUCUUAACCAUAAACUAUGCCGACGGAUCGGACGAUGUUAUUACUCUCGUUCGGCACCUUACGAGAAAUCAAAGUGCUUGGGCUCC